CGGUGAUGGUCAGUCCUCCAGUGGUCACUCUGGUGAUGGUCAGUCCAGUGGUCACUCUGGUGAUGGUCAGUCCAGUGGUCACUCUGGUGGUCACUCUAGUGGUCACCCUAGUGGUCAUUCCAGUGGUGGUCAGUCCACUGGUGGUCACUCUAGUGGUCACUGUGGUGGUCACUCCACCGGUGGCCACUGCAGUGGUCACUCCAGUGGUGGUCAGUCCACUAGUGGCCACUCCUGUGAUCACUUUGGUGGUGGUCACUCUAGUGGUCACUCUGGUGGUCACUCUAGUGGUCACUCCAAUGGUCACUCCACUGGCGGCCACUCCUGUGGUCACUUAAGUGGUCACUCUAGUGGUCAUUCCAGUGGUGGUCAGUCCACCGGUGGUCACUCUAGUGGUCACUGUGGUGGUCACUCCACCGGUGGUCACUGCAGUGGUCACUCCGGUGGUCACUCCGGUGGUCACUCCGGUGGUCACUCCAGUGGUGGUCACUCCACUGGUGGCCACUCUGGUGGUCACACUGGUGGUCACUGCAGUGGUCACUCUGGUGGUCACUCCGGUGGUCACUCCAGUGGUGGUCACUCUGGUGGUCACUCUGGUGGUCACUCUGGUGGUCACUCCGGUGGUCACUCUGGUGGUCACUGGUGGUCACUCCGGUGGUCACUCCAGUGGUCACUCUGGUGGUGGUCAGUCCCCGCCGGACGCGGGGGGUGGUGGGAAAUAAACGCCGGCCUGAGCCCGGCUACGGCCACUGGGUGGUCAGUGGUCAUUCAAGGGGUCACUGGGUGGUCAGUGGUCACUCAAGGGGUCACUGGGUGGUCAGUGGUCAUUCAAGGGGUGGUCAGUGGUCACUCAAGGGGUCACUGGGUGGUCAGUGGUCACUCAAGGGGUCA
rnacentral:lncRNA from 1 species